CCUGACACAAUAACUGUUUGACCCCAGAAACCUACUAUAUUCAAGACAAUGGCAAGAAAAGUGGGAGUGAGAAAAAAAGAAAAAUAACUAAUUUUUGCACUUGUGAAGAUUGGAUUUGGCUCUCCCCUGAUUAUAACAAUGAAGGGAUAAAGGGGGUAAAGCAGGAAGCCAGGAUCUGAGAUCCCCUUCAACUAGACAGUAGCUCAAAACAAGCAG
rnacentral:lncRNA from 1 species